rnacentral:rRNA from 1 species
CCCUUAGACGUCCUGGGCCGCACGCGCGCUACACUGACCAGUGCAACAAGCAUCCGUCCUUGGCCGACAGGCCCGGGCAAUCUUUGAACGCUGGUCGUGAUGGGGAUAGACUUUUGCAAUUUUUGGUCUUCAACGAGGAAUUCCUAGUAAACGCAAGUCAUCAACUUGCAUUGAUUACGUCCCUGCCCUUUGUACACACCGCCCGUCGCACCUACCGAUUGAAUGGUCCGGUGAAGCCUCCGGAUUGGCGCGCACCUCGGUGCCGCCGAGAAGUUGGCUAAACCUUACCAUUUAGAGGAAGGUGAAGUCGUAACA